UACGUAGGUGUCGAGCGUUGUCCGGAUUUAUUGGGCGUAAAGCGCCCGCAGGCGGCUUGGCAAGUUCGAGGUGAAAUCCCCGGGCUUAACCUGGGAACUGCAUUGGUGACUGGCAGGCUUUGAGUGUGGCAGAGGGAGGUAGAAUUCCACGUGUAGCAGUGAAAUGCGUAGAGAUGUGGAGGAAUACCGAUGGCGAAGGCAGCCUCCUGGGCCAACACUGACGCUCAUGCACGAAAGCGUGGGGAGCAAACAGG
rnacentral:rRNA from 1 species